UUCCACUUUUAAAUUAAGUAUUCCAAGUUGAAUAUUUGAGUCAACCAAGUAAUAAGAAACAUAUUACUUUGUUCAUAAACUAAGUGGCUGGGUUUAUAAAGAAUGCUGAAACUGAAGACUUUUAUUUGAGCCUAAAACCUUUCUUUUUUGCCCCAUUAAAGGUAAAAAAGAACUAUAGUCAACCCUCCAAAUGUUAUUUCUACACACCAUUACUCCCUAAAUAACACAAUAUAACAUGUUUUCACAUAGCAUUUAUACUGUAUUAGAUAAUACAAGUAAUCUAGAGAUGAUUUAAAGCUAACAGAAGGAUGUGCCUGGGUUACAUGCAAACACUGUGCCAUUUUAUAGAAGAGACUUGAGUGUCUGCAGAUAAUGGUAUCUGUGGAGUGGAAGGAUGCUUAGAACCAGCUCUUCUUGGGUCCUGAGGGAGAAUUUAUGUUAAACACUAUGUGGAACAAAGCAUUGGGCUUCAAGCCAGGGCCAACUUUGAUCUGGGGAACCAAGAACAGGAGCAUCAAGAGCGGCAAAUGGAGGAUCGAGAACUUGGCAAAAAGCAGCUACUGUCACAGGAAGCUUGAAGAAUGUGCAUGGAAAAUAAGAGUAUAUUCUGUUCUGUCCACAUUUCUUUCAUGGCCUGGUUUUGUGAUCAGGAAGAGGAUUUUGGAGAGUGUUAUAGCUAUUGUGAAGGUCUGAGAAAGAAGUGAUUCUUUCGAAUGUUUGCUGUUGUUUUUAAAGACUUCCCUGCAUGAUGUACUCCAUUGAACUCAUAACUGAGAGUUGGAGCAUGGGGAGACAGCAGGAAAUGCCAAGAUUUUCCUGAGAAGUUGGGUAGAGAAAGAACAGGCUGUGAAUACUUGUUUUCCACCAUCUCUCCACAAAGGAAGACUUCUCAAAGAGCAGCAUCAGGAGUAAGAGGGGCAGAUGAUCUCUAUUUUACUGUCUCUGAGGCCUUAAAAAUCUUUUUCAACUUUGCAAUAACUUUUAUUAUUAGCUUGAUAAUAAAGCAAAACUCUAUAAGAAGAA
rnacentral:lncRNA from 1 species